rnacentral:rRNA from 1 species
CCUACGGGCGGCAGCAGUGGGGGAUAUUGCACAAUGGUGGAAACUCUGAUGCAGCAACGCCGCGUGAGGGACGAAGGUCUUCGGAUUGUAAACCUCUGUCCUCAGGGACGAUAAUGACGGUACCUGAGGAGGAAGCUCCGGCUAACUACGUGCCAGCAGCCGCGGUAAUACGUAGGGAGCAAGCGUUGUCCGGAUUUACUGGGUGUAAAGGGUGCGUAGGCGGCCCUGCAAGUCCGGUUUGAAAUCUAUGGGCUUAGCUCAUAGAUUGCACUUGAAAAUGGGGGGCUUGAGUGAGGUAGAGGCAGGCGGAAUUCGCGGUGUAGGGGGGAAAGGCGUAGAGAUCGGGAAGAAUACCAGUGGCGAAGGCGGGCUGCUGGGCUCUAACUGACGCUGAGGCACGAAAGCGUGGGAGGCAAACAGGAUUAGAUACCCCUGUAGCC